rnacentral:misc_RNA from 1 species
GAUGAAGAACGUAGCGAAAUGCGAUACGUAAUGUGAAUUGCAGAAUUCAGUGAAUCAUCGAGUCUUUGAACGCACAUUGCGCCCCCUGGUAUUCCGGGGGGCAUGCCUGUCCGAGCGUCAUUGCUGCCCUCAAGCACGGCUUGUGUGUUGGGCUUCCGUCCCUGGCAACGGGGACGGGCCCAAAAGGCAGUGGCGGCACCAUGUCUGGUCCUCGAGCGUAUGGGGCUUUGUCACCCGCUCCCGUAGGUCCAGCUGGCAGCUAGCCUCGCAACCAAUCUUUUUAACCAGGUUGACCUCGGAUCAGGUAGGGAUACCCGCUGAACUUAAGCAUAUCAAUAAGCGGAGGA